rnacentral:rRNA from 1 species
UACGGAGGGUGCAAGCGUUAUCCGGAUUCACUGGGUUUAAAGGGUGUGUAGGCGGGCUAUUAAGUCAGCGGUGAAAUCUCCGGGCUCAACCCGGAAACUGCCAUUGAUACUAUUAGUCUUGAAUAUCGUUGAGGUUGGCGGAAUAUAUCAUGUAACGGUGAAAUGCAUAGAUAUGAUAUAGAACACCGAUUGCGAAGGCAGCUAACUAAGCGAUGAUUGACGCUGAGGCACGAAAGCGUGGGGAUCAAACAGG